GUGUCAUAUGAAGGGAAAGAAGUUAUCACUCCCUUGACACAGAUGGAAGAAGCCUUGGGGUUCGAUAAACGUGCAGUUAAGGCAUUGCCACCUGAUUAUUGGUAUCUAACCAUUGCUGGAC